CCCCGGCGCCUGCGGGCCUCGUGGCUUGUCAUCACCCUCGUGUGCCUCUUCGUGGGCAUCUAUGCCAUGGUGAAGCUGCUGCUCUUCUCGGAGGUGCGCAGGCCCAUCCGGGACCCAUGGUUCUGGGCCCUCUUCGUGUGGACGUACGUCUCCCUCGCCGCUUCCUUCGUGCUCUGGUGGCUGCUGUCCAUGGUGCGGCCGGGCACCGAGGCCCUGGAGCCCGGGGCAGGCGCCGAGGCCGAGGCCUUUCCUGGGGGGAGCCGGCCCCCGCCCGAGCAGGCAUCCGGGGCCACGCUGCAGAAGCUGCUCUCCUACACCAAGCCUGACGUGGCCUUCCUUGUGGCCGCCUCCUUCUUCCUCAUCGUGGCGGCUCUGGGUAAGUGA